rnacentral:rRNA from 1 species
AGGAUCAUUAUUGAAAUAAACUUGAUAAGUUGCUGCUGGUUCUCUAGGGAACAAUGUGCACACUUGUCAUCUUUGUAUCUUCACCUGUGCACCUUUUGUAGACCUGAUUAUCUCUCUGAAUGCUUUAUAGCACUCAGGAUUGAGGAUUGACUUCUUGUCUCUUCUUACAUUUUCAGGUCUAUGUUUCUUCAUAUACCCCAAUGUAUGUUUAUAGAAUGUAAUUAAUGGGCCUUUGUGCCUAUAAACCUUUACAACUUUCAGCAACGGAUCUCUUGGCUCUCGCAUCGAUGAAGAACGCAGCGAAAUGCGAUAAGUAAUGUGAAUUGCAGAAUUCAGUGAAUCAUCGAAUCUUUGAACGCACCUUGCGCUCCUUGGUAUUCCGAGGAGCAUGCCUGUUUGAGUGUCAUUAAUAUUAUCAACCUUUUGGGUUGGAUUUGGGUUUGCUGGCCUCUAUCAGGUCAGCUCCCCUUAAAUGCAUUAGCAGACAACAUUUUGCCAAAUGUUCAUUGGUGUGAUAAUUAUCUACGCUAUUGACAUGAAGCAAAGGUUCAGCUUCUAACUGUCCAUUGACUUGGACAACUUUAUUAAUGUGACCUCAAAUCAGGUAGGACUACCCGCU